rnacentral:rRNA from 1 species
UACGUGGGAUGCAAGCGUUGUCCGGAAUUAUUGGGCGUAAAGAGCUCGUAGGCGGUUUGUCGCGUCGAAUGUGAAAACCCGGGGCUCAACCCCGGGCCUGCAUUCGAUACGGGCAGACUAGAGUUCGGUAGGGGAGUCUGGAAUUCCUGGUGUAGCGGUGAAAUGCGCAGAUAUCAGGAGGAACACCGGUGGCGAAGGCGGGACUCUGGGCCGAUACUGACGCUGAGGAGCGAAAGCGUGGGGAGCGAACAGG